rnacentral:rRNA from 1 species
GACGAACGCUGGCGGCGUGCUUAACACAUGCAAGUCGAACGGAAAGGCCCUGCUUUUGUGGGGUGCUCGAGUGGCGAACGGGUGAGUAACACGUGAGUAACCUGCCCUUGACUUUGGGAUAACUUCAGGAAACUGGGGCUAAUACCGGAUAGGAGCUCCUGCUGCAUGUUGGGGGGUGGAAAGUUUCGGCGGUUGGGGAUGAACUCGCGGCUUAUCAGCUUGUUGGUGGGGUAGUGGCUUACCAAGGCUUUGACGGGUAGCCGGCCUGAGAGGGUGACCGGCCACACUGGGACUGAGAUACGGCCCAGACUCCUACGGGAGGCAGCAGUGGGGAAUAUUGCACAAUGGGCGGAAGCCUGAUGCAGCAACGCCGCGUGCGGGAUGACGGCCUUCGGGUUGUAAACCGCUUUCGCCUGUGACGAAGCGUGAGUGACGGUAAUGGGUAAAGAAGCACCGGCUAACUACGUG